GACAGAGGUGGCAAGCGUUGUUCGGAAUCACUGGGCUUAAAGCGCGUGUAGGCGGCUCAUUAAGUGUCUUGUGAAAUCCCUCGGCUCAACCGAGGAACGGCUGGGCAUACUGAUGAGCUUGAGGCAGGGAUGGGCGAGUGGAACUCUUGGUGGAGCGGUGAAAUGCGUAGAUAUCAAGAGGAACGCCGGUGGUGAAGACGACUCGCUGGGCCUGUCCUGACGCUGAGACGCGAAAGCCAGGGGAG
rnacentral:rRNA from 1 species